rnacentral:rRNA from 1 species
AGUCAUAUGCUUGUCUCAAAGAUUAAGCCAUGCAUGUCUCAGUGUAAACUUAUAAACAGUGAAACUGCGAAUGGCUCAUUAGAACAGUUAUAGUUUAUUUGAUGUUCAUUGCUACAUGGAUAACCGUGGGAAUUCUAGGGCUAAUACAUGCGUAAAUACCUGACUUACGAAGGGUAGUGUUUAUUAGAUUAAAAACCAUCACCAAGCUUGCUUGGAAUUGUUGGAAAGAUAAUAACCGAUCGAAUCGCUUACUUCGGUGCGAUAAAUCAUUCAAGUUUCUGACCUAUCAGCUCUCGUCGGUAGGGUAUUGGCCUACCGAGGCGAUGACGGGUAACGGGGA